UAAAUCACAAUGCGGAACAAUGUUUUGCAAUUGGAUUGAGAACAACGUACAAACCUUAUCGAUAAACAAUUGGAGGGCAAGUCUGGUGCCAGCAGCCGCGGUAAUUCCAGCUCCAAUAGCGUAUAUUAACGUUGUUGCAGUUAAAAAGCUCGUAGUUGAAAUGAAGGGUAGUUGUGUAAUGAAUACAUUCGUGUAUUUUGUUAUUCUACUACCCUCCUUCUAAAUUCGAUAUAUGAGUAUUAAUUUACUUGUAUAUGGUUUUAGACCUUUACUGUGAGAAAAUUAGAGUGUUCAAAGCAGGCAUUUGCUUGAAUAUAUUAGCAUGGAAUAAUCAUGUAUGAUUUUCAUGAUGUAUUUGAUUGGUUUGGUUGAUGAGAAUAAGAUUAAAAGGGACAGUUGGGGGUAUUCAUAUUCAAUAGUCAGAGGUGAAAUUCUCG
rnacentral:rRNA from 1 species